ACUUCAAAGUAAUUAUAAAUUGUUAAACGGUUAAUAAGUUUGAUAAAUAAAUAGAUAUAAUUUAUCUCAUUUUCAAUUUUAUCGAUUUUGAAUUAUUUCAAGCAAAUGUAUUUUGCUAAAGUACAAAUUACUUGUUUCUUCAAACCCACUUUCAGCCAAAAUAUUAUCCAAUCAGACACUAUCGUUCAUAAAAUCCGGGCCCAAACCCCUCAAAUAACCUCUAUUCUUUUUCUUUUCUUUAUCAUUUCUUUCUUUCCCAAAUGAACUGGAAACCCUAGCAGCCCUUGUCCUUGCAAAAUGCAAACCCCCCAAAACUUCACCGGAUUUUGAGCUCAAUCCAUCAAGUUUUCUACCUCAAAAACGUCACCAUGUCCCUAAAAUUAUUUUGGGGGAAUAUAGCCCCACCCAUGUCACCUUUUGUUCAAGAUAUUUUUUCUCCUAUUUUUCUGAAUUUAUCUCUUCAAAGAUCAACAAUUCAAAAUUUGGAUCCCCAAUUUUGUUGAGAUUAUUCCCAAUUCUUUGCUUUUCAAAUUUUCUUUAGGCUUCAAUUUUUUGGUUAUAAAUGAAGCCUAAAUUGUAUAUACUUAAGGGGACAUGUAGUGAAAAAAAUUCCCCGGUGUUAAAGCUCUUCAAUUGUAAAAUAUCUAUGUUGUACAAGUUUUUGUCAAAGCAAACCAUCAUUUUAUAAUCAUUGUCAUCAGAUGCAGAAGAUAAUUCAAGUUAUCAUCUGGAAGUUAUGGAGGCUGCAUUAAGGUAGAAGACCAUGAUUCCAUGGAGACUAGUUCUUUGAAGACCCUUAUAUCAAUGAUGAUUCUUAGAAACUUUGCUUACGUUCUUCAUAAGCUUUUUCCCUAUAGAGCUAUUCUUUGUUCCAACAGUUGUUCUGGUGACUCAGGUUUAUAUAUUUUAUUCCUUUUUAUUUAA